rnacentral:rRNA from 1 species
ACUUCUGGGCCAUAUCACGUUGAAUGCAUCGGUUCUCGUUUGAUCACCGAAGUUAAGCAACGUCGAACCAAGUGAGUACUUAGAUGGGUGACCGCUUGGGAAACCUAGUUGCUGUAAGCA